CUCUAUCGGCGUCUCUCAACACCCAUAUAAACCUUUGUUUACCCUGCUCUAAUCCCAUCGCGAGCUCCUUGAUUUCCCUAUUGGAAAAUGAAGUUGUUGUUCCAAAAGAUACAUAAAGAAGUGAUCUUGGAGGUUGUUUGUUAAGCCAAUCCAAACAUGUAUUCUCCCUAUUCGAGAUACGAUCUAGUUUAGUAGGCAAAACUGGUCCAAUUGCCCAAUUUUUCUUGUUC